UACGUAGGGUGCAAGCGUUUAAUCGGAAUUACUGGGCGUAAAGCGUGCGCAGGCGGUUUUGUAAGUUUGUCGUGAAAUCCCCGGGCUCAACCUGGGAAUGGCGAUGAAGACUGCAAGGCUAGAAUCUGGCAGAGGGGGGUAGAAUUCCACGUGUAGCAGUGAAAUGCGUAGAGAUGUGGAGGAACACCGAUGGCGAAGGCAGCCCCCUGGGUCAAGAUUGACGCUCAUGCACGAAAGCGUGGGGAGCAAACAGG
rnacentral:rRNA from 1 species